rnacentral:rRNA from 1 species
UUCCGGUUGAUCCCGCCGGACCCUACUGCUAUCGGGGUGGGACUAAAACAUGCAAGUCGAGUGUCUCCUAGCCAUGGUGGAGGCGCGGCGUACAGCUCAGUAACACGUGGCUAACCUACCCUUGGGACGAGAACACCCCCGGGAAACCACGCACAGACCUUGACGACAUAAACACAAAUUCUCAAAAAUCCAAAAACCCCAUAACAUAAACAAACAUUUCAUUACACCGCCUUGCCGAUUUCUAAGCUGGCAAAGGCUAUCUCAAACUAACCAAAACCCACACACAAUCUUCUAAGAAUAGAAACUUAAGGCUCUGGCGUAGCCCAAAACUGGGGUUAAUUCUCGAUGGGUGAGGAGGCCUGGAAUGGUUCUCCACUGAAAGGGCGCUAGAGGCAUGCUCUCUAACGUUGCCCAAGGAUGGGGCCGCGGCCGAUCAGGUUGUUGGUGAGGUAACGGCUUACCAAGCCUUAUAACCGGUACGGGCCGUGAGAGCGGGAGCCCGGAGAUGGGCACUGAGAUAAGGGCCCAGGCCCUACGGGGCGCAGCAGUUGCGAAAACUCCGCAAUGCACGAAAGUGUGACGGGGCUACCCCGAGUGCCGUCCGCUGAGGAUGGCUUUUAUCCGCUGUAAGGAGGCGGAGGAAUAAGGAGAGGGCAAGACUGGUGUCAGCCGCCGCGGUAAUACCAGCUCUCCGAGUGGUAGGGGUGAUUAUUGGGCUUAAAGCGUCCGUAGCCGGCCUGGCAAGUCUUCCGUUAAAUCCAGCAACCUAAUUGUUGGGCUGCGGGGGAUACUGUUAGGCUAGGGGGCGGGAGAGGCCGACGGUAUUCUCGGGGUAGGGGUGAAAUCUUAUAAUCCCGGGAGGACCACCAGUGGCGAAGGCUGUCGGCUAGCACGCGCCUGACGGUGAGGGACGAAAGCUGGGGGAGCGAACCGGAUUAGAUACCCGGGUAGUCCCUGCUGUAAACGAUGCGAGCUAGGUGUUGGGGCGGCUACGAGCCGCUUCAGUGCCGCAGCGAAGGCGUUAAGCUCGCCGCCUGGGGAGUACGGCCGCAAGGCUGAAACUUAAAGGAAUUGGCGGGGGAGCACCACAAGGCGUGAAGCUUGACGGUUCAAUUGGAUUCAACGCCGGG